rnacentral:misc_RNA from 1 species
ACCUAGCAAAAAAAAAGUUCGGCAGUGACGACUACGCUUAAAUGUCGCCGUUGCGAAUUGCUCCAUUAAAUCAUCGCUACAUAGAAGCACCUUAAAACUACAAGGACAAAGUUAACCGUGCUUUUGACAAAUAAACGUAUAUGGAGCGGUAUCCGGGGUAACCAGCGUAAAUAAACAUUCAUUUUAGAUUCCUUUGUGCAUUAUAAGCGUUAUAAAAUUUCUUUCGGGAAAUUUUUAAGGUUUAUUUUGUGCUUAUUUUGAGGAAUAUUAAUUAUUUCGAAGUUAUAUUAAUCGGUUUUAGUUAUAAGUUUGUUCGUUUGUCAUUUUUAGGUAAGUGAUUUGGAGGCGUAAGCAGUUGAGUUUUAUUGUGCUGGCGAUUGCUUCCUUUAAAGUCCUCAAACAAGCAGUUUUUUGACAAAUUUGGCUCAUUGAAUGUUUUAGAUUUUAUUUCGCCCAGUUAGUUUUAUUCUACAAAAUCAAAGAUUCUCAAGCACCCAACACUUAUUAAACUGAUUAGAUCUAAAAGUGCUGUGCUCCAUUGACAAACCAAGCAAGGUUUUUGGAAAAAUUUUACUCAUUGCAUCCUAUAGUAUUUGUCUUCCAUAGUUCCAAUCUACAAAAGCAAAGAUGCCAAAAAUGAGUAAGAAGUCUGCUAAGACAACAAGACUCCAGAAUAAAGAAAAAUAUAUGUCCAGCAAGAUGGUAAAGAAAGACAGUGGUGACAAAAAGGAAAAUUUAGAAAUUCCUGGUAAGCCUAUAAAUUUGCAACAAAAGUUGCCCAAAGAUAUGGUUCCAGAGGAUAGUACCAGCAAGGUAAAAUUUAAUGAAAUUGUAACACAGUUUAAUAAGCGAAAAUCAUUGACGGUUAUUGAUGACAAUGAUGCAUUGUCAUCAAAAAUUGUCACUCAAAAGAAACAAAAAGUUAAUGAUUCCUUUAAAAAAAUAUCACCUAUAGAUAAAAUUGAAAAGAAGCCAGAACCUACUAGAACCAAUCACCCAACCAAGUUUGAACUAGCAUUAAGAGAAGGCCCCACCAUUGUAUGCAGUUGUUGUUUGCGAUUAUGGUUUCCCACUUCAUGUAAAAAAAUAGAUCUACAAGUACUAAAAAACAAAUUUGGAAACCAAUUCACUACACAAAUUUGCAAUGAUGGGGUUUUCUUCUGCAAGUCUUGCUCAUUAAAUAUUUAUAAAGGACAAUUGCCAAAGUUCUGGUCCGGCAAUCAUAAUAUUGUUCACCCUAUACCAGUUGAGCUAAAAGAUCUGACUAUCCUUGAAGAAAGGAUGGUGUCGGCCAGGUUACCUUUCAUGCAAAUCCGACAGGUAGGAUAUGCACGACAGUGUUACAUAACUGGCCAAAUAGUCAAUGUCCCUAUAAAUAUAGAUACUUCGACCAAAUUAUUGCCUAGAAAUGUAGAGGAGACACAAACUAUUCAGGUUAAGCUCAAGAGAAAAAUGAAUUAUAAAAAUGAUUAUCUCCUGGAAACCAUACGGCCCGCAGUUGUUCUAAAAGCGGCAAAAUUUUUGUGUCAACAACCUCUUUACAUACAAGAAGGCAUAAAGCAAUCAGAUGAUUGGGAAAAAAAUAUUAAUGGCUACUUAAGAUCUCAAGUAGAAUCCUCUGCACAGAUCUUAAAUGAAGGCUCAAAAGUGGUGGAACUGGAUUCUAAAACAGUGUGUAGUGAAAAUUUUGAAGAAUUGUUCGAUAAUGCGUUUUUCGAAACAAUGGAAGUGCCCCUAGAAUCUAAGAAUGACGAUAAAAAUAUUCAAAAAGAAUCUUCAAUUGAAAAAAACAAUUUAUACAAUUUAGAGGAAUUCUUAGAUGAAGAAGAAGAGCCUUUAAAUCCUGGGGGCCAAGAAACUUUGCUUGACAAAUGUAACCUAGAAAAUAUCUGUUUUGCCCCAGGAGAAGGUAAAACGCCAAUACAUUUGAUGCUUGACCAGUUUAGCGAUGAACUCUCAUUUCCUACACUUUUCUGUGGACAUGCUAAGCAAUUUCUUACAAAAUUCUCCUAUUCUGACCAGACGAAAAUACAACUCCAGCACAAAGACAGGCGAUUUGCAAGGACAGACUAUCUGUUGUAUACAUUUAAAAAACGUCAACUAAUCCAAUUAUCCAGUGCAAUUGCAACAUGUCUCAGAAAAAAGAGGAAUGAGGAUGGAAAAUAUACAGCUGGACAAGUAAGACAAGCAAAUUUUCUAGACCAGCUGAUUCGAAGUGACAUGGGAUUCCAUUUUCUUAGUAGAAUUGCAGGUUCACCUGCUUAUUGGAAGCACGAAAAGACAAAAUUACUGUGUAUGAUUCGCCAAUUUGGAAUCCCCACACUGUUUUUUACCGUGUCAGCAGCCGAAACAGCAUGGCCCGAAUUAAUCAAGGUAUUAGCACAAGUUGUUGAUCAAAAAGAUGUUACUUUAGAAGAGGCCGCGAGUAUGCCCUACUUAGAAAAAACUCGCUUAAUUAGAACAGAUCCGAUAACUUGUGCCAGAUACUUUGAUUAUCGGUUCAAACUGCUAUUUAAACAUAUGAAGAGUCAAAAUGGACCCUUUAAACAAAAUCCCAUAGAGCAUCAUUAUUACCGCAUAGAAUUUCAACAUCGUGGGUCUCCUCAUGUUCACGGGUUAUUGUGGUUAUCCAAUGCUCCAAAAUUCCAAGAAACACCAGAAAGUUUCAAAGAGUGUGCCGAAUUCGCGAACCGGUAUAUUACUUGUAAUAGUGAUUUAGAAAGUGUCCGUGAUAUAAUUCAGUUUAAUACGCAUCAUCAUUCUAAAUCGUGUCAAAAAGAAGUGCGGGGACACAAAGUUUGCAGGUAUGGUAUCCCAUUCCUGCCAAUGGAUAAAUCGGUAAUUCUAACGCCAAUAAAAAUUGACAAAACCAAGGAAGCGGAUUUACGUAAGGCCAUGUCUGAAAAGUUUUUAAUGAUAAUGCGUAGGCUUAAGGAUAAACCAGAUUUAUCAUUUGAAAACUUUUUGGCUGACCUUGGUAUGUCUAAGGAUGAGUAUCUUAAUGUUAUACAGCACAACAUAUUUAAAACCACUUUAUUUUUAGAAAGGCAGCCAAAAGAUGGAUUCAUUAAUAAUUUCAAUGCUGAGAUGUUCUCCAUGAUGAAGAGUAAUAUGGACAUUCAAUUAGUUUUUGAGCCAUAUGGUUGUUGCACCUACAUAGUCAACUAUAUCAAUAAGUCUCAAAGAGGUGUAUCUGAUAUUUUAAUGAAGACUAUGGAAGAAAUUAAAAAAGGUAAUUUAGAUGUUAAGGGCAAACUUAAAUCUCUUGCAGCAGCUUUCUUAAAUGCGAGCGAAGUUAGUGCCCAAGAAGCCGCCUACAGCGUGUUACAACUACCGAUGCAUGAUACCUGUACCUCCUAUGUAUACAUCCAUACAAAUCCAAUCAAGGAAAGGACAAAAAUGUUGAAACCAUUAACAGAACUUAAAGCCAUGGACAAUGAUGAUCCCAAUAUUUAUUGUGAUGGGCUUAUAGAACAUUAUGAGCAAAGACCCAAUGAGAUGGAAAACAUAUGUUUGGCAGAGUUUGCGGCCUACUAUGAUUUCUUUAAGAAACAAGCAGAAACAAAAGCUAAUGGUUUACCCUUAAAAGAUGGAAGUGGCGUUUUAGUUAAAAGGGGUCAUGCUAAAAUUUUAGCCUACCGUAGUUAUGGACUUCAGCAAGACCCUCUCAACUAUUAUAGGGAACAAAUAAUGUUAUACAUCCCAUGGAGAAAUGAAGUGGAUGAAGUUGAAAAUGAGAACAUUGAUCAACAGACCAUAUACAAAGAUCGAUACCAAGAAAUUGUUACAAAUCGACAAAAGUUCAAUGUCUUAGAUGAACAGGUAAUCGAUGAAGCACUGAAACUUGCCGAAGACCGAUCAAAUCAAUUAGACGAUGGUGGAUUCGGUGGAGAAAUCGAUGAUGAGUUUAUGCCUUAUGGACUAGACAACCCCAUUUAUGAUCCAUUCAAUCAUAUCAUCGAUAAGAAAGACGACGAAGCGCCAGUAAAACAUAUCGCUUUCCCAACGCCUCAUCAGAUAAGCGAUUCAGAGUAUGAAGCCCUCAUAAGCAAACUGAAUCACAAGCAGUAUCAGUUCCUUAAUGUCGUGCAAGACAGUCUAAUUGAAGGGGAAGCUUUCUACUGCACACUUAGUGGUCCAGCAGGUACAGGCAAAAGUCACCUGAUUACAGCAAUAACUCAGUCGUUAUUACGCCAUUUCAAUUCAAUACCAGGUAAUAAUCCCGAAAGUUUAAAAGUUUUACUUUGUGCGCCUACAGGUAAAGCGGCAUUUAAUAUCGGAGGUAUAACCUUACAUGCGGCAUUAUCGUUACCCGUCAGUCAGUAUGGUGAACAACUAAUUCCGUUACACCAUGACACUUUAAAUACUAUUUAUUGUAAUUUAUGUGACUUAAAACUAAUUAUUAUAGAUGAAUAUUCCAUGGUUGGUGCCAGAUUGUUUGACCAUAUUAAUAGUAGAUUGCAGCAAAUCUUUAAGUCUGACGCCAUCUUUGGAAAUAUUCCAAUAAUUUUAUGCGGCGAUAAUCGUCAAUUGCCCCCAGUAAGGGAUAUGUAUAUUUUUUGCCCAGUAAAAACAAAUCCGUAUAAAGAAUUAUGUGGAACUUAUUUGUGGGAUCAUUUUAGGUAUUUUGAGCUUACAGAAAUAAUGAGGCAAAAAGAAGACAAGUCUUUUGCAGUUGCCCUAAACAAUAUGGCGUUUGGUAAAAUGACCGAUGAAGAUGUGCAAUUGAUCAAGUCCAGGGAAGUUGACAAUAUUGAUCUAAUUCCUGAAGACACUAUGCAUUUAUUUGCCACCAAUAGAGAAGUAGAUGCAUUCAAUGAAAUGAAACUUUCUACAUUUCAGACCGAGCGAGCCGUAAGUCAAGCCAGAGAUGUAAUCAAAGGAAGUUGCUCAGAACGAUUAAAACAUUUAUUUUUAGAACAUGCUAAAAGUUUAAAAAAAUCAGAGAGUUUUGGCCUAAUGUUAAAUUUAAUAUUGCAGGUAGAUGCUAAAUACAUGAUUUCAAUGAAUAUAGAUACCAGUGAUGGGAUAGUCAAUGGUGCUACAGGUAUCCUGCGUCAAAUAGACUAUGACCAAAAUAAAGUUCCAUACAGAGUGUGGAUGGAGUUCUUUGAUUCCAAGUCAGGCAAGGAAUGCCGAAAGAGAAACGAGUCCCUUAGGAAGUCUAUGUAUUUAUCACCCACUUGGACACCCAUAGAAAGAGCUGCAAGAGCUGUUAAAAUUCAAAAAGGCAGCAAUGUUCACGUUGAGCGUCUUCAGUUUCCUCUUUUAAUCAGUGAAGGAAUUACAAUCCACAAAAGUCAAGGUGCCACCUAUGAACAAGUAGCUGUUCACAUUGGUAAUGGAAUGACGAGAACCAGUACCUAUGUGGCAUGCAGUCGGGCUACAAAGCUAAGUGGCCUCUACAUAAUUGUGAUCCAUUUGUAUUCCAGAUUCUAUUUUAAUCGUGAUCAAUCAGCAGCCUUUAAUUUGAAGAAAACGCAUUCAACGGACUUGACAAUGACAAGUGGAUACAUCCUUUUAUGGCAAGAAGUUGGAUGGCUUAAAAUUUAAUUAUUGGUGAGGACUUUUCGUGUUGUUAAUAUUUUAUUACAUUUUUUCAUUCUAGGUCUAUAAAAAAAAAAAACAAGAAGUUUUAUGGUAUAAUCCAAAGCUGCAAAACUUCGACUGGAAUGAAUUGAAUGAAUUGACGAAACAGUGGGCUGCCAAGGCAGUUGUGCAUAUAGGUCUCCUGAGGGACCCGUCAUGCCCCACCGGGGGUUACCAGAGCCCAACGGCCUUAGAGAAACCGAUAAGGCUCUCUGGUCUGAAGGACUUAAAGUCGCUCGGUACACUGAAAGUGUUACCCAAGUAUUUGAACCUGGCGCGCGUGAGUGCUGGGCACUCCCCGACUACAUGGUCAACGGUUUCAUCCUCCUCACAGCACCAUCGUCAUUCCGGGUUGUCCGCAAUACCGAUAGUAUGGAGAUGGCUUCUUAAGUGCCAGUGAC